rnacentral:rRNA from 1 species
AGGAAAAGAAACUAACAAGGAUUCCCCUAGUAACGGCGAGUGAAGCGGGAAGAGCUCAAAUUUGAAAUCUGGCAGUCUUCGAUUGUCCGAGUUGUAAUCUAUAGAGGCGUUUUCCGUGCCGGACCGUGUCCAAGUCUCCUGGAAAGGAGUAUCAAAGAGGGUGAUAAUCCCGUACUUAACACGACCACCGGUGCUCUGUGAUACGUCUUCUACGAGUCGAGUUGUUUGGGAAUGCAGCUCAAAAUGGGUGGUGAAUUCCAUCUAAAGCUAAAUAUUGGCGAGAGACCGAUAGCGAACAAGUACCGUGAGGGAAAGAUGAAAAGCACUUUGGAAAGAGAGUUAAACAGUACGUGAAAUUGUUGAAAGGGAAACGAUUGAAGUCAGUCGUGUUCUUUGGAUUCAGCCAGUUCUGCUGGUCUACUUCCUUGGAACGGGUCAACAUCAGUUUUGUCCGGUGGAUAAAGGUAGUAGGAAUGUGACUUCUCCGGAAGUGUUAUAGCCUAUUAUCACAUACACUGGGUGAGACUGAGGACUGCAGCUCGCCUUUAUGGCCGGCCUUCGGGCACGUUCGAGCUUAGGAUGUUGACAUAAUGGCUUUAAACGACCCGUCUUG